CAGGGCUCAGAUGAUGACAGUUUUCUUACCUGAUUGUUCAGUGAUGUUUUUUCAAAGUAAACGCACUGAUGAGCCACCA